AGGAGCUACAUAAGGGCGUACGGAGGAUGCCUAGGGUCUCAGAGGCGAAGAAGGACGUGAUAAGCUGCGAUAAGCUACGGGGAGAAGCACAUUUUCUGUGAUCCGUAGAUUUCCGAAUGGGGCAACCCAAUAGUUUGAAGAACUAUUACCAUAUCUGAUAUGGAGCUAACUCGGUGAACUGAAACAUCUAAGUAACCGAAGGAAAAUAAAACAACAGUGAUUCCGCAAGUAGUGGCGAGCGAACGCGGAGAAGCCCAAACCAUUUUUGUUACGGCAAAAGUGGGGUUAUAGGACUGCAUUUAGGAUUUAUCUUUAAGUUGAAUGAUUUGGGAAAGUCAUCCAUAGAGUGUGAGAGACACGUAAACGUACCGAGAUAAUGACGAGCAGUAUCCUGAGUAGGUGGGGACCGGUGGAAUCCCCUCUGAAUUCGGCGGCACCAUCCGCCAAGGCUAAAUACUCCUGAGACACCGAUAGUGAACGAGUACUGUGAAGGAAAGGUGAAAAGCACGGGGAGUACCCGGGUGAAAUAGAACCUGAAACCGUACGCUUACAAGCGGUCGGAGCAGCUUAGUGCUGUGACGGCGUGCCUUUUGCAUAAUGACCCUACGAGUUACGGUCACCGGCAAGAUUAAGUAUUUCAGAUACGUAGUCGAAGCGAAAGCAAGUCUGAAUAGGGCGAAUAGUCGGUGGCUGUAGACGCGAAACCUUGUGAUCUACCCAUGGUCAGGUUGAAGGUUGGGUAAAACCAACUGGAGGACCGAACCAGUUAACGUUGAAAAGUUUUUGGAUGAACUGUGGGUAGGGGUGAAAGGCUAAUCAAACUGGGAAAUAGCUCGUACUCUCCGAAAUGUAUUUAGGUACAGCGUCGAGGUUGAGUUAUAUCGAGGUAGAGCUACCAAUAGGAUGCGGGGGAGUCAAAUCCUACCAAAUUCUGAUAAACUCCGAAUGCGAUAUAAUAUACUCGGCAGUGAGGGCUUGGGUGCUAAGGUCCGAGUCCAAAAGGGAAAGAACCCAGAACUACAACUAAGGUCUCUAAAUCUAUACUAAGUUGAACUAAGGAAGUCUGAUUGCAGAGACAGCCAGGAUGUUUGCUUGGAAGCAGCAAUCAUUUAAAGAGUGCGUAACAGCUCACUGGUCGAGCGAGGCGGGCAUCGAUAAUAAACGGGCAUCAAGUAUAGUACCGAAGUUUAGUCAAGAAUUUAUUCUUGGGUAGGAGAGCAUUCUGUUCGCGGCGAAGGUGUACUGUGAGGUAUGCUGGAGCGGAUAGAAAAGCAAAUGUAGGGAUAAGUAGCGAUAAUGUAUGUGAGAACCAUACACACCGAAAGACUAAGGAUUCCUCAGCUACGUCAAUCAACUGAGGGUUAGUCGGGUCCUAAGGAUCAUGCGAAAGCAGAAGCCGAUGGCAAACAGGUUAAUAUUCCUGUACUGGUGAUGGUGCGAUGCGGGGACGGAGUGUCGGAGUGUAUACGUCCUGACGGAAUAGGGCGUUGAGGGGAGGCUUAGGCUGAACCGAAUAUGUGAAGAGACUUCCAAGAAAAGCCGCUAAGCUUCAGCCAUUUACCACCCGUACCGUAAACCGACACAGGUAGUCGAGGCGAGAAGCCUAAGGUGCUCGAGUGAGUCACAGCUAAGGAACUCGGCAAAUUAACCCUGUAACUUCGGGAGAAGGGGAGCCUCAGCAAUGAGGCCGCAGAGAAAUGGCCCAGGCGACUGUUUAACAAAAACACAUGGCUUUGCUAAGUUUAAUGACAAAGUAUAAGGCCUGACACCUGCCCGGUGCUGGAAGGUUAAGAGGGGAUGUCAUCGCAAGAGAAGCAUUGAAUCGAAGCCCCAGUAAACGGCGGCCGUAACUAUAACGGUCCUAAGGUAGCGAAAUUCCUUGUCGGGUAAGUUCCGACCUGCACGAAUGGUGUAACGAUCUGGGCACUGUCUCAGCUGUGAGCUCGGCGAAAUUGUAGUAGCGGUGAAGAUGCCGCUUACCCGCCACGGGACGGAAAGACCCCGUGAACCUUUACUAUAGCUUAACGUUGAAUUCGGGUAACUGAUGUGUAGGAUAGGUGGGAGGCUGUGAGCCGGUGUCGCUAGGCAU
rnacentral:rRNA from 1 species